rnacentral:lncRNA from 1 species
AUGACGCUCAGUUGUAACGUAAAUAAAAACCGGGAACUCAUUCGUCAGGCAAAGCAUAGAAACGGAUGUUGCUGCUGCAGACGCCCUUUGUUACCAUAGCAAUAUGGAUAGUUGUGGCGGCGCAGAGCUAGAGCUCCUGCUAUGCCUGAGCUAGGUAGCUUAGCUAACCUAAACGUUAAAUACCAACUAUUUUAGACAUAUUCCGCAACUCCCUUGGAGAGCAGCUGCUGUGUAUUUGGACUUUUACACAGUUCCGGUCAUCUGUACUUAUGACAGGAACAUAAAAUAAAACAAUAUUCGCUGUGCAAGCUAACCGAAGUAAAUACUUGCCUCUUCAUUAAUUCUUGGGCUGAUAUACACCUGAAGAUUUGCUUAACAGGAUGUCGAGUGUUUCAGUGCCCUGUUGUUCAACAUCUGCUUCGUAACCAUGCAGGAAGCUGUGGACCUGGAGGCCCAGCUGGCUUGAAAAGAAAGAGAAUGGAACAAACUUCAGGCUUUGCGGAUUUGACAACUGGAGACCGCUCUAAACGAAGCCACAUCAGAGCUGUCCACCCAGAGAGAGCGUUUCCUCCGCUUGCGGGAUGACUUCAAGUAUAAUCUACGUGUGUUGGAGGAGAGGGACACAGAGCUGGAGCGUUAUGAUGCCUUGGCAGCCCGCGCUCAGACGGAAGAGAGUGCCAGGCGGGAAGAGGUCAGUGAGCUGAGGAUUGAGAUAGCAAAACUUCAGGAUGACCUGGAGAAUCAGCGAAGGGUGAAGGAGGACAUAGAAGUGCAAUAUCAGAAAUCUCUUUUUGCCUGCAUUAUUAGGUUAAACAAUAUCAAUUAAAUACAGUGAAUCUUGUAAAUUGCAAUCCACAACAGGAAAUGAAGGCAGAUUUUGACAGUGAGAUGAGGAAGCGGGAGCAUGAAUUCCAUCUGAAGCUGGAUGAAAUGAACAGUGUAGUUCUCUCACACGAGCUCAACGAAAAGCUAUUGAGCAAAGAGCUGGAAGUCCACGCCAAAGCUCACAGUCAGGCCACCGGGGCCCUGCAGGCCUCUGAAGAACUUUACCAGCAGGCUCAAAAAGAGAUCCAACGCAGAGACUGUGACUUAAAGAACACCACUGCAAUGAAAGACUCCAGGUAAACUGACGUGUGUGCUGAAAAGCUUUUCUUUUUGAAUUUUGAAUAUAAGAAGAUCAAUCAUGAUUACUGUUUUACAGGAUAAAAGAGUUUGAAGACAAACUAAAACAAAUGGAGAGCAAUUAUAAAAAAGAGCAAGCCUACAACAGCAAGUACUACAGCUAGAGUUUGAGAUACCUUGUCAUAAAGUAUACCCUUGUCAAAUCCAGUUAUUACACAUAAAGAUACAGUAAACACAAAUGACAACAAUAUUUUUAGAUCCUAAUGACCACUCAAAAAAACAGGAAGUCAUAAACCUUUCUUUGGUAGAUUAAUAUGCAUAGCUCAGAUUAUUCUGGGUAGGCCAGCAUGUCUUGCUCUGGAUGUUUUGAAAUUUGAUAUAUGCAGACAUUCAGAGUAGGAACGAAGGUCUCGGGAGAAAGAGGAUGCUUUGGGUCUCAUGAGAGAGGCUCAUACCAGGGAGCUCCAAGAGAUCUUAGAAUUGCAAGCCCAACUGGACAGGAUGACUCUGGAACAGGAGAGGAGAGAAAAGAGCUAUAUGGAUGACCUUCAUCACCGAGACCAGCAGAUACAAGAGUAAGACAAAAAGUAUUGAAAUUACUAUUCACAGAAAUGUUCUGUGGUUAAUUUUUACUUGCCAAGAAAUACUUCAGCUGUUUGGAGUACAUAUUAUUGCAUAAAGAUUUUUAUUUUUCAUGAAAUUUGAAAUUGUCCAUUUGUAUAUAUGAAAGGGAGAUGCAUUAUGCGACUCCUGCUGAU